GACGAACGCUGGCGGCGUGCCUAACACAUGCAAGUCGAACGAAGCAUUUGGAGCUGAUCUCUUCGGAGUGACGCACCUUAUGACUUAGUGGCGGACGGGUGAGUAACACGUGAGCAACCUGCCUUUCAGAGUGGAAUAACAGUUGGAAACGGCUGCUAAUACCGCAUAACGUCAUAGUACCGCAUGAUACCUUGACCAAAGAUUUAUCGCUGAGAGAUGGGCUCGCGUCCGAUUAGGUAGAUGGUGGGGUAACGGCCUACCAUGCCGACGAUCGGUAGCCGGACUGAGAGGUUGAUCGGCCACAUUGGGACUGAGACACGGCCCAGGACUCCUACGGGAGGCAGCAGUGGGGGAUAUUGCACAAUGGGCGCAAGCCUGAUGCAGCAACGCCGCGUGCGGGAAGACGGCCUCGGUUGUAACGUACUGUCCUCGGGUAGGAACGAAAUAGACGUACCGAACGAAGGAAGACGACGGCGAACUACGUAGCACG
rnacentral:rRNA from 1 species